GACAUCCGGAUUCAAGAGGAGAAAGACUGUGCAAGGUGUAGUGUCGAUUUGGAGUAGCUUGGAUCGCCGGAGUAGCUAGGCCUAGUCAUCAAUCGCGACAAAGAAAUCGCAUAGGAGAUCUCGUCAAGGAAUAUCGCAAAUCAAGU